CGAAUGCUGACAUAAGUAACGAUAAAGCGGGUGAAAAGCCCGCUCGCCGGAAGACCAAGGGUUCCUGUCCAACGUUAAUCGGGGCAGGGUGAGUCGACCCCUAAGGCGAGGCCGAAAGGCGUAGUCGAUGGGAAACAGGUUAAUAUUCCUGUACUUGGUGUUACUGCGAAGGGGGGACGGAGAAGGCUAUGUUGGCCGGGCGACGGUUGUCCCGGUUUAAGCGUGUAGGCUGGUUUUCCAGGCAAAUCCGGAAAAUCAAGGCUGAGGCGUGAUGACGAGGCACUACGGUGCUGAAGCAACAAAUGCCCUGCUUCCAGGAAAAGCCUCUAAGCAUCAGGUAACAUCAAAUCGUACCCCAAACCGACACAGGUGGUCAGGUAGAGAAUACCAAGGCGCUUGAGAGAACUCGGGUGAAGGAACUAGGCAAAAUGGUGCCGUAACUUCGGGAGAAGGCACGCUGAUAUGUAGGUGAAGUCCCUCGCGGAUGGAGCUGAAAUCAGUCGAAGAUACCAGCUGGCUGCAACUGUUUAUUAAAAACACAGCACUGUGCAAACACGAAAGUGGACGUAUACGGUGUGACGCCUGCCCGGUGCCGGAAGGUUAAUUGAUGGGGUCAGCGCAAGCGAAGCUCUUGAUCGAAGCCCCGGUAAACGGCGGCCGUAACUAUAACGGUCCUAAGGUAGCGAAAUUCCUUGUCGGGUAAGUUCCGACCUGCACGAAUGGCGUAAUGAUGGCCAGGCUGUCUCCACCCGAGACUCAGUGAAAUUGAACUCGCUGUGAAGAUGCAGUGUACCCGCGGCAAGACGGAAAGACCCCGUGAACCUUUACUAUAGCUUGACACUGAACAUUGAGCCUUGAUGUGUAGGAUAGGUGGGAGGCUUUGAAGUGUGGACGCCAGUCUGCAUGGAGCCGACCUUGAAAUACCACCCUUUAAUGUUUGAUGUUCUAACGUUGACCCGUAAUCCGGGUUGCGGACAGUGUCUGGUGGGUAGUUUGACUGGGGCGGUCUCCUCCUAAAGAGUAACGGAGGAGCACGAAGGUUGGCUAAUCCUGGUCGGACAUCAGGAGGUUAGUGCAAUGGCAUAAGCCAGCUUGACUGCGAGCGUGACGGCGCGAGCAGGUGCGAAAGCAGGUCAUAGUGAUCCGGUGGUUCUGAAUGGAAGGGCCAUCGCUCAACGGAUAAAAGGUACUCCGGGGAUAACAGGCUGAUACCGCCCAAGAGUUCAUAUCGACGGCGGUGUUUGGCACCUCGAUGUCGGCUCAUCACAUCCUGGGGCUGAAGUAGGUCCCAAGGGUAUGGCUGUUCGCCAUUUAAAGUGGUACGCGAGCUGGGUUUAGAACGUCGUGAGACAGUUCGGUCCCUA
rnacentral:rRNA from 1 species